rnacentral:lncRNA from 1 species
UAACCACCUCCACAAUCUAAAGCAAUAAAUCCAAUUUAUUACUCAAACCAAUUCUUCUCAAAUUGAUUCAACACAAACAGAAGAAGAAAAAACAAGCAAGAAUUGAUUCAAGGCAAUCAGAAUUUAUCCCAAAUUGAUUCAACACAUCACAGAAGUUUUAUGGAAUUGUUUGUCAACGAACAAAAACAAUAGAAUAGCAGAAAAUCAGAGAAACGUGAACAACACAAGCGCACGACAAGACCACGAUGGCUUGAUGUGAAAAUGAGAUCAGAAAUCGAAAACGAUAGAGGCAUACUCGAUUGUGGCGGCCGCAGAUCACAAGGAGGCGGAUCCAGAUAAUAAAACGAGAGGGAUUUGGAUGGAUUUCGAUCUGAAUUUCAGCCAUGCCGUUUUCUAGAAUUUUGAUUUCCAGAAAUUCGAUUUGAGGAAAAUUAAUUGAUGAAUGAUUGAAUGGAACAGCAAAGAAGAAUAGGUGGAGGAAGGAAAAGGAGAGAUAUGCAAAGAAGAAGAAGAAGGAGGAGGAGGAACAGAUUUAUCAAUUAAAAUUUAGGG